rnacentral:rRNA from 1 species
AGAGAAUAGAUACCCAGGUAGUCCACGCCGUAAACGUUGGGCGCUAGGUGUGGGGAACCUUCCACGUUCUCCGUGCCGCAGCUAAACGCAUUAAGCGCCCCGCCUGGGGAGUACGGCCGCAAGGCUAAAACUCAAAGGAAUUGACGGGGGCCCGGCACAAGCGGCGGAGCAUGUGGCUUAAAUUCGACGCAACGCGAAGAACCUUACCAAGGCUUGACAUACACCGGAAACUGCCAGAGAUGGUGGCCCCGCAAGGUCGGUGUACAGGUGGUGCAUGGUUGUCGUCAGCUCGUGUCGUGAGAUGUUGGGUUAAGUCCCGCAACGAGCGCAACCCUCGUCCUAUGUUGCCAGCGAGUAAUGUCGGGGACUCAUAGGAGACUGCCGGGGUCAACUCGGAGGAAGGUGGGGAUGACGUCAAAUCAUCAUGCCCCUUAUGUCUUGGGCUGCACACAUGCUACAAUGGCCAGUACAAA